UCUUAAUCCAAGCCUCAGCCAGCCUUCUCCAGCACAGAACUGAAAUGCUCAGCUUUCCCAUCUGUGGUCCUCUGCUCUGACAAACAGCCCAGACCCCUAAUGCAGAUGCUGACAGCCAGGCAUCAAAUCCAGAGUUUUCAAGUGACCCAGAUCUGCCCAGCAACCAGGCACUUAACCAGGGACAACCACUGUCAUCUGCCUGAACAGCCAGAUCUGGGUUGAUCUCACCAUUUUACACCUCGACUGCUAUGACACAUGACCAUGGAUAAAAAUAUGCUUUGGAAGAACCUCUUUGCUAACAAAAAAUGACCACAAAGGAUAUCUUAAGAUCCACUCCACAUACACACAAGGAAAACAAACAAACACAAAACCCAGAAAUCUUCAUUUCCAAACAAAAAGCUCUCCAGCUAGACUAAAUCUUCUCAAAGCCCAAGAGAGCUGGCUAGGAAAGGCUUAGAGGAAGAGCAGAGAGUGCCUUAUCCUCAUGCUGUCUGCUCUGCAAAAAUGACUUUAUUAGAGACUGCGUUAGUACUGGCUUACUGGUUUUCUCAGGGAGAUUCUGGGCAAGAAUGGCACUGCGAGAUAACUAUCACCUCCAUCACAAAGGUAAAUUGUGAAAUGUUCCUGUAGAUGUCCUGUCAGCCAGCAGAUGGAGAAAAAUGAUCAGUAUGUGAUGUGUGUUCACACAAUGAGUGUGUGAAUGGUAGAGCAGCAACCGAAGAUACAAAAUAAAGUUCCAGGAAUAACUAACUGGUUUGCAAGAAUGACUUCCCUGCCUUCCAUCCCUAACCUUUCCUUUCUCUUAUGCAUCCACCCUCUUUUUAAAGGGAUCCUUACCACAACCACUGUUUUGAUUAAAUUGACAAACCAGAGCAGUUCCUUAAGGCACUGGGAACUGUGUGCAAUCCCUGAAACAUCUGUCUGGGCAGUACUCUCAGAAGUGUCACCUUAGUAGCUUUUCAUCAAAGCUCUUCAAGAUUCCUGUUUGCUCAACUGCCUGAAGGUUUCAUUCACUGACCUCCAUUGGGAAAUCAUGUGCAAACAGUUACUAAACCCUUCAAAAGCAGACAAAGAGCAACCAAAGUAUCCUCUUCAUGUGAAGGACAUCGUCACAUCUGUCAGUGAGCAUCCCCUCCCACCCAAUCCCCAAAUCAAUCCUUUUCAAAAGUGAGAUCCUCCGGUCCUUCCCAAAGCUAACCCCAAAUGCUGGCAGAUGUCACUGCACGUGCAGAAUUGACACUUUGUUCCCACCCACACUGGUGCCCAUAAAGGGUGUGCUGGCUACAGGUCCAAAAUCUAUUCCUAAAGAAAGGUUGCGCAUUUAGUUAGACCAAUAGAUCUGUUUCCACCUUGCUGCCCCUUAACAGUCCUCCCGUGGUUCAGGAACAGCGAAAUUUGGCAACAAACACCCAGUAAUUUUUGAUUUCCUACAAGCUUCAGCUGUCCUGCAUUUAAGCCCAGGACAGCUAACCACUUAAUCACCUCCACAAAUAAACUUUUCCAGAGCACACAUCAGGAUAAAAACAUACUAUAACAAACUUAUUUUAAGAUGUCUGCUUACUCUAGUCUGAGAGAAAAGUGGUGCUUGCACGCUGAAGUACAGCAUUCAUACCUUUCACACAGUAGCUUAAAAAAAAAAAUAAACUGAAUGAGCAGGGAACUGCCAUUCUGUAAUACUGUGUCUAGAGCAAACGCUGAUCACUCUUACUUAGCAAACAUCGAAUGGGCUGCAUGACACGGUUCUCAGAGAAAUAAAUCUUCAUUUUUAGAUUUUUUAGUCCUAGCCAAAGAAUGAAUGAUUAGGUUAUUUUCUCAUCUUAAUAAACGAUGCAAAAGCUCCAGACAUAUGGUAGCAUUUGUGUACUUCCAGGCAAGCGAUGAUAACUUUCAAAUGUUACUUCCCCUCCUCCUCCACUACAUGAAACAAACACACUGCAGCCCAUUUAAAACUUAGUGACACACACAUUCAAGAGAAACUAUUUCAGUUCAAGUUACCAAAUGUCAGAUGCAUGUGUUAAGUAAUUAUAUUAGGAAAUAAUGAGCAGACGAACAUCACUAUGGGUUGACAAAGUGCAUAUGUAUACCAGUAAGAAUUAAAAUAAUUUUAAGAGGCAAAGUUUCUGCUUAAAUUAGCAAGAAGCCCAUACGUAUAACACGUAUCAUUCAUAAUAACAUCUACAAGACCAGGGGAUAGGUACUGACUCAUUUGGUCUUGUAAGUAUUAAUCCUCAACUGCUUCACUUCUCUUUUCCUAGUUUAAGAUUCACAACAGGGCUCAAUUUCUCAAUGAGGCAAUGGUUACAAAAUGGCUGAAGACAAGCAUAACAUUUUUUAAGAAGCAGGAAGCCCACAAAUCUCAAAAUGGCAAGGUAUGGUAUUAUAAAUAUUGAGGUACUUAAUUAGGAGGAGAAGUCAUCUCUUAAGACUUCGCCUCCUGUUUUCCUUGGAAAGACAAAGCUGCGUUCCCCCAGCAGCUUUCUGCAUUUACAAGAUUCAUUUCUGUUCUCAAGAAAUGCCUAUGUCCUCCCUAAAACACAUAGCACAGUCGUACUGGAACCGUUCAGACGUCCUCUCUGACUGAGUGCUGUACUGUCAUCCACUAUUGCUCAAGACUGGUCAUAACACUGUGUAACAUUUACAAAGUUGGACUCUGUUCAGCCUGUCCACCCAGUAGCUGACUAACUAGACAUCAUUACUUGAGACUAAUCUGAAGAAAAAGGGAAAACAAAUAACCUGAAUACCACAACCCUACUGUAUGCCUGUAUUUUCUCAAUCUCAGGGAGUUCUAACACUGAAUAAAUUGACAAGUACAUUAUCUGUAGCAACUUCUGAGGUUUUCACAGAGCAAAAAGAAUGAAUAGCCGGCAAUUAAUAUCAUUUCGCAUUUUCAGAAUGAAAGGAGAAGUUUAAAUAGGAAAAUGUUUUCUACUGGUUAGAGGCAAAUUCUUGUUAUUCCUUUAAAUUAAAAAAAUGUUAUGUGCUUCAGGGGGAAGUAGGCACCAGUAACAACAAGCUGUUCACCACUUCUGAGCCAAAUGCUUGCAAAAAUACCGAACACAGAAUACAUUCAUAGCUGCAGCAAGACAGAAUAAGAGCUAAGAAAAUCAAUAGGGAAAGAAAGACAUCUCCCUCCACCUUGGACGAGGCUAAAGAGAACAAUUCUUAACCUUCGAUGCUACUUACAAGGCUCUGCUUCCAGAAAGUACUUUUAUAUAAAUUUGUAUGGAAUUAACGUGAAAUCAGAAGCAUUUGACCAAGGAAAUGCUUCACCCUUGCAUGAGAACUGAGGUUAACAUAGAGAAACUUAGGGUCUGCUCAGAACUUACUCCUAUUUAUACCUCAGCUGCAAAAGCUGAUGAAGCUACAGACCCACAGUACUAACUUCAGAGUAGGCACAGCUGAAAGAGGGUAGGAUCAAUUUUCUCUGGUGCUUUCUUGCAAACUUUCUUUCCUGCUCUAUCUGAUCAAAUUAUGUAUUCAGUCAACUCAGAAGUCUGGUUCAGACAAUGACCA
ensembl:lncRNA